UACGUAGGGUGCAAGCGUUGUCCGGAAUUAUUGGGCGUAAAGAGCUCGUAGGCGGUCUGUCGCGUCGGCUGUGAAAUCCCGGAGCUCAACUCCGGGUCUGCAGUCGAUACGGGCAGACUGGAGUUCGGCAGGGGAGACUGGAAUUCCUGGUGUAGCGGUGAAAUGCGCAGAUAUCAGGAGGAACACCGGUGGCGAAGGCGGGUCUCUGGACCGAUACUGACGCUGAGGCGCGAAAGCGUGGGGAGCAAACAGG
rnacentral:rRNA from 1 species